UGCCUCUGCCUUUCACCCUUGCUGGAUCGUUGCACUACAAGCACUCAGUGGAUUCACCUUCUCUGUUUGUUGCCAGCAAAAUCCUGCCUGCCUGCCUCCCCUACUCAAGCCAGCCUGUGUUCCUGCAUCGGCUCUAGUCCUCAUGGUGCCUGAUUCUGUCUGCCUCCUCCUGUCUCUCUGCUGCAUCAUUUUGCCCCAAGCCUCGUAAGUCCCCUGAACUUUGAUUUUUGGAGCUUUUCCCAGAAACCUCUGGUGAUUAUUAUUUGGACUAAAAAACAAGUUCGUCACUGAACCCCAACUUCCUGAGUUUCCUCGCCCUCCUGGCUUUCCCUUGUCUCAUUACCAUUUGUGUUUGGAGCCACGCCUUCCCUUUGCUCUCAGAGGACUCCACUCCGUCUCUACAGCCUGUUCUCCUCAUCCCAUGUCCGUGUAUUCGCUGCAUUGUUCUACUCCAGGGGGUCCCCAAGACAAAGACUUAAUAAAUCUGGUUUCUUGAA